rnacentral:rRNA from 1 species
GAUGAACGCUGGCGGCGUGCCUAAUACAUGCAAGUCGAGCGAACAGACGAGGAGCUUGCUCCUCUGACGUUAGCGGCGGACGGGUGAGUAACACGUGGAUAACCUACCUAUAAGACUGGGAUAACUUCGGGAAACCGGCGCUAAUACCGGAUAAUAUAUUGAACCGCAUGGUUCAAUAGUGAAAGACGGUUUUGCUGUCACUUAUAGAUGGAUCCGCGCCGCAUUAGCUAGUUGGUAAGGUAACGGCUUACCAAGGCGACGAUGCGUAGCCGACCUGAGAGGGUGAUCGGCCACACUGGAACUGAGACACGGUCCAGACUCCUACGGGAGGCAGCAGUAGGGAAUCUUACGCAAUGGGCGAAAGCCUGACGGAGCAACGCCGCGUGAGUGAUGAAGGUCUUCGGAUCGUAAAACUCUGUUAUUAGGGAAGAACAAAUGUGUAAGUAACUAUGCACGUCUUGACGGUACCUAAUCAGAAAGCCACGGCUAACUACGUG